CCACCUGCCAAGGGUGCAGCCGGUGAAAUAAAAAAAAAUACAGAGAAGAUAAGCAUGGCUUCUGAGCAAUGAUGAGGCACAAAUUCCUGAAGCAUUCCAUAUAUAC
rnacentral:snRNA from 1 species